rnacentral:rRNA from 1 species
UACGUAGGGUGCAAGCGUUGUCCGGAAUUAUUGGGCGUAAAGAGCUCGUAGGCGGUCUGUUGCGUCCGCUGUGAAAACUCGGGGCUUAACCCCGAGCCUGCAGUGGAUACGGGCAGACUAGAGGUAGGUAGGGGAGAAUGGAAUUCCCGGUGUAGCGGUGAAAUGCGCAGAUAUCGGGAGGAACACCGGUGGCGAAGGCGGCACUCUGGGACGGUACUGGCGC